rnacentral:rRNA from 1 species
GACGAACGCUGGCGGCGUGCUUAACACAUGCAAGUCAAGGACCGUAGCAAUACGGUACUGGCGCACGGGUGCGGAACACGUAGGCAAUCUGCCCAGAAAGGGAGAACAACCAGCCGAAAGGUUGGCUAAAUCUCCGUAAAAUCAUAGAGUGGCAUCACUUAUUGAUCAAGUUUUUUCUGGAUGAGCCUGCGUCUGAUUAGAUAGUUGGCGGGGUAACGGCCCACCAAGUCUGCGAUCAGUAGCUGGUCUGAGAGGAUGAUCAGCCACAUU